AGUGAACGCUGGCGGUAGGCCUAACACAUGCAAGUCGAACGGCAGCACAGUAAGAGCUUGCUCUUACGGGUGGCGAGUGGCGGACGGGUGGGGAAUACAUCGGAAUCUACUUUUUCGUGGGGGAUAACGUAGGGAAACUUACGCUAAUACCGCAUACGACCUACGGGUGAAAGCAGGGGAUCUUCGGACCUUGCGCGAUUGAAUGAGCCGAUGUCGGAUUAGCUAGUUGGCGGGGUAAAGGCCCACCAAGGCGACGAUCCGUAGCUGGUCUGAGAGGAUGAUCAGCCACACUGGAACUGAGACACGGUCCAGACUCCUACGGGAGGCAGCAGUGGGGAAUAUUGGACAAUGGGCGCAAGCCUGAUCCAGCCAUACCGCGUGGGUGAAGAAGGCCUUCGGGUUUUAAAGCCCUUUUGUUGGGAAAGAAAAGCAGCAGGUUAAUACCCCGCUGUUCUGACGGUACCCAAAGAAUAAGCACCGGCUAACUUCGUG
rnacentral:rRNA from 1 species